GAUCCCCCUCGAGCAGGCAUUGAACUGAAGCGGUAUGCUCGUUAUAUUAUUAUUAUUUUACAAGAACAACGUGAGGAGAGCAUGCACAGCUUUUGUUUAUUGCUGUCUGUGUGUAUUAACAUCUCUAGAACGUUAGAUGCAAACAGGGCUCUCAAGUCUCACGGCGUUCAGCCUUCACACGCCACACCUUGUAUUUCUCACGCUGAAAAUAAAACAUUCUUCCCAUAUAAAAACAAUGGAUGAGGCAAAGGCAGGGACGUUCUCUGCCGGAAGUUCAUACAGGUAGCUGUCUCGAGUUUUUAGGUGUGCUCAACUUCACGCAGCAAUGCAAGAACCAAAACGCACAUGACAUCAAAGUACCUCGAGAAAUAUUCGGGAAAUCAUACGGAGGAGUUUGAUUUCAAAUCGCUCUCGCGCUGUUCUAAUGUCAUCCACUUGUCACGCGGAGUUUGUUGGAAGAGCAAGAUCCGAUGAAUACGAUGUGUAACACAGGACACGCUCAACACCAGCAUGACCAGAGCCAGAAGCAAUGAUGCAAUGUUACGUCCAUCCCACAGAGAUUCUACUAAAGAUGACAUCACCAGGGCCACUUAUGUUUCAACCAAUGGGUGUCAGAGAGGGGGGCAACUUUGGCUAUAUUUGUGCAUGGAAUUUAAACAUAAUGAAGGGUCACAGGGAGCAGCAAAGGUUUAUAGGUACUCUUGAAAAUCAAAUAAAGCUGUACAGCCUCUCGUUCCCCUGAGGAUGCAGAGAGAGAGAAAAUCUUCCCUUUGCUUUUCUUCAAGGUUGUGCGGUGUUAUUAUUCAUACCAGAAAUCCGCAUUCAAUGUCACUCUAUUCGUCACAAUGUAUGUUUCUGAUGUAACUUCCAUAUUCUCUAAAAUAAAUAUUUCACCCAAAAAUGAACACUUUGUCAUUAUUUACUCUCAUGCAA